rfam:Arthrobacter sp. Hiyo1 DNA, contig: contig00239.
GGUCAUGAGUGCCAGCGACAGCCCCGGCUUGCUGGCCGGCAACCCUCCUUUCGCGGCGGGGUGCCCCGGGUGAAGACCUGGCCCUUCGCUGUGUUGGCGGCGGGCAAGCGCGAUGU